rnacentral:rRNA from 1 species
ACGGGUGAGUAACACGUAUCCAACCUGCCGUCUACUCUUGGCCAGCCCUCUGAAAGGAAGAUUAAUCCAGGAUGGCAUCAUGAGUUCACAUGUCCGCAUGAUUAAAGGUAUUUUCCGGUAGACGAUGGGGAUGCGUUCCAUUAGAUAGUAGGCGGGGUAACGGCCCACCUAGUCAACGAUGGAUAGGGGUUCUGAGAGGAAGGUCCCCCACAUUGGAACUGAGACACGGUCCAA